UGGGGAAUCUUGCGCAAUGGCCGAAAGGCUGACGCAGCGACGCCGCGUGUGGGAGGAAGCUCUUCGGGGUGUAAACCACUGUUGCCCGGGACGAACGAGCGAUUUUGAUCGCUGUGACGGUACCGGGUGAGGAAGCACCGGCUAACUCUGUGCCAGCAGCCGCGGUAAUACAGAGGGUGCGAGCGUUGUCCGGAAUCACUGGGCGUAAAGGGCGCGUAGGCGGCUCGGUAAGGUUGCGGUGAAAGCCCGGGGCUCAACCCCGGGUCGGCCGUGGCAACUGCUGGGCUCGAGCACUGUAGAGGCAGGUGGAAUUCCGGGUGUAGCGGUGGAAUGCGUAGAGAUCCGGAAGAACACCGGUGGCGAAGGCGGCCUGCUGGGCAGUAGCUGACGCUGAUGCGCGACAGCGUGGGGAGCAAACAGGAUUAGAUACCCCCGUAGUCC
rnacentral:rRNA from 1 species